UGUUGAUGUCUCAUGGCUGUGUGGGU
rnacentral:piRNA from 1 species